GUGAGGAAUAUUGGUCAAUGGGCGAGAGCCUGAACCAGCCAAGUCGCGUGAAGGAAGAAGGAUCUAUGGUUCGUAAACUUCUUUUGCAGGGGAAUAAAGUGCGGGACGUGUCCUGUUUUGUAUGUACCCUGAGAAUAAGGAUCGGCUAACUCCGUGCCAGCAGCCGCGGUAAUACGGAGGAUCCGAGCGUUAUCCGGAUUUAUUGGGUUUAAAGGGUGCGUAGGUGGUUUGAUAAGUCAGCGGUGAAAGUUUGCAGCUUAACUGUAAAACUGCCGUUGAAACUGUCGGACUUGAGUGUAAAUGAGGUAGGCGGAAUGCGUGGUGUAGCGGUGAAAUGCAUAGAUAUCACGCAGAACUCCGAUUGCGAAGGCAGCUUACUAAGCUACAACUGACACUGAAGCACGAAAGCGUGUGGAUCAAACAGGAUUAGAAACCCGGGUAGUCC
rnacentral:rRNA from 1 species